rnacentral:rRNA from 1 species
AACGAACGCUGGCGGCAGGCCUAACACAUGCAAGUCGAACGCCCGUAGCAAUACGGGAGUGGCGGACGGGAGAGAAACGCGUGGGUAUCUACCUAGCAGUACGGAAUAACCGCGGGAAACUGCGGCUAAUACCGUAUACGCCCUACGGGGGAAAGAUUUAUCGCUGCUAGAUGAGCCCGCGUCCGAUUAGCUAGUUGGCGGGGUAAUGGCCCACCAAGGCUAUGAUCGGUAGCUGGUCUGAGAGGACGAUCAGCCUCACUGGGACUGAGACACGGCCCAGACUCCAACGGGAGGCAGCAGUGGGGAAUAUUGGACAAUGGGGGAAACCCUGAUCCAGCCAUGCCGCGUGGGUGAUGAAGGCCUUCGGGUUGUAAAGCCCUUUUGGCGGGGACGAUAAUGACGGUACCCGCAGAAUAAGCCCCGGCUAACUUCGUGCCAGCAGCCGCAGUAAUAC